rnacentral:hammerhead_ribozyme from 1 species
UCACUGCUGAAGAGUCCUAAAAUAGAACGAAAUGGCCGUCCAGUAC